UACGUAGGGUGCGAGCGUUGUCCGGAAUUAUUGGGCGUAAAGGGCUCGUAGGCGGUCUGUCGCGUCGGGAGUGAAAACUCAGGGCCUAACCCUGAGCCUGCUUCCGAUACGGGCAGACUAGAGGUAUGCAGGGGAGAACGGAAUUCCUGGUGUAGCGGUGAAAUGCGCAGAUAUCAGGAGGAACACCGGUGGCGAAGGCGGUUCUCUGGGCAUUACCUGACGCUGAGACGCGAAAGCGUGGGGAGCGAACAGG
rnacentral:rRNA from 1 species